rnacentral:piRNA from 1 species
UGUGAGCGUAGGCCAAACCUUUG